rnacentral:misc_RNA from 1 species
CGACUUCUGCUGCCGUUGAGGAACUGAAGAAGAGCGUCUCCCGAUUGAAGUUACCCAAGGAGCAUUCCCCGCGGGUUUAGAAAAUCAUUCACCAGCUAACUCUUUAUCGAGUGCCAACCGAAAACAACUAACAUGGCGGACAAGAUCAAAGCAUUUUUCCAGAAAAAGAAAUCCGAUGCCAAAUUUAAGAUGGCUGGAAAGGGGUACAAAUUAACCGAAUCGACGAGUUCAUCAAAAUCGAACUCUAACGAAACAGUGAAGCCAGUGACGCGGGCGGAACCAACCACAGAAGCUAAAAUUGCAGGACAAGCUGCCCUGGCGAGGCUCGAGUCGAAGAGGCCAGACCCGACAAAGUUCAACACAUCGUACGCGGCUAUCCAGGCACAAGUCAAACGAGAACUGGAGGCGGAGAGAAAAGCGGCGAGUAAUGAGGCAAAGGAAAUCGCGCUGCCAAAGGAGCAGAAAAUCCCACAGGAGGUCGAGGCAAACCCGCUGCUCGCUGUACGCGGGGUUUAUUUUCGCUGUCCGAUUAUUUCUGACGAAAUAUUAACCAGGGACGAGUGGAAGAGCAAGAUUCGACAGUUCCUUUACGAGCAGCUCAAUUACGAGGAGCCCGGACUCACCGCCUGCCUCAUCAUUCAUAGUUGUAAUGCCGGGAAAGAAAAGGUUGAACAGUGUGUCGAAACCAUGUGCAAGUACCUUGAAAAUAUCAUCAAUAAUCCGGGGGAGGAGAAAUACUGGAAAAUACGAAUGUCCAAUCGGGUAUUUCAGGACAAAGUGAAGCCCGUCGAGGGUGCCUUGCAGCUGUUUAAAGCCGCUGGGUUUGAGAUGGUCAAACUAGCGCAUCAGGAACAGGAAGAGGACUUCCUGGUUUGGAAUCCGGAAAAAUCUUCGAUCGAGCAAGUCGGUAUACUGGUUGAUGCUCUGAGGACGGCAGAGCCCGUUCGAAUUGAGUUGGACAGAAACUUACAAGUCUUACUGCCCAGUCAGGCAGCGAAAAGAAACGAAUUACCUCCAAUUUUCUUCACCAUAUCGCCGGAGGAGAUUAAGAAGGAGCAUCAGCUCAGGUCUGAAGCGGUAGCAAAGAGUCAAAUUCUCCGUACGAAGGCGAUGCGGGAAAAAGAGGAAUUGCGAGAAAUGAAGAAAUACCGUUACGCCUUGAUACGGGUGCGUUUCCCGGACGGGGUAAUGCUUCAAGGCACCUUCGCGGUUUACGAAAGGGUCGAGAACGUCGUAGAAUUUGUCAGAGAGAAUUUGAUCAGUGACGAGAUACCGUUCGUUUUAACAACGCCGACGGGUCAUCGUCUCGGGAAUGAAGACUAUGAAAAGACCUUGGUUGACAACAGACUGGUCCCCGCAUCAAUACUGAAUUUCAGCUGGGAUACGGAGAUUUUAGAUACCAAGGGACCCACCGAAUAUCUCAAAGAAGAAAUUAUCUGCCUGAUACAGUCCACGUAAGCCUCCUCACCCUAGUCGAGCUAUGAUUUUAUCGUCAUCACCUUCCACUCGACAAUGAAAUGUCCCCCCUAAUAAUGCGAAUAACGGGAUGUUUUGCUGAAUGAUUGCCAGGGGUAAAUGCAACACUAUGGACAUACAGGUAUUGUACACUAUUGAUAGCAAAAUAUUCUCUUUGUAAUUGAAUCCAUACUUGUUAAAAAAGGAAAAAAAAAAAAGACGAUUGGAAUAAAUAUCACGUUUUAUUUUCA